AGCAGUAUGGUAUAGUGGUUUGAACAUUAGACUCUGACUCUAGAGAACAGGGUUUGAAUCCCUGCUCAGCCA